AUUGAACGCUAGCGGGCUGCCUUACACAUGCAAGUCGAACGGAGUGGCGAACGGGGGAGUAAUGUAGCGGAACGUGCCCAGUAGCGGGGGAUAACGAAGCGAAAGCGAAGCAAAUCACGCAUACCAUUGGAGAGGCCGAUGCCGGUUUAGCUAGUUGGUGGGGUAAAGGCUCACCAAGGAGACGAUCCGUAGCUGGUUUGAGAGGACGACCAUCCACACUGGGACUGAGACACGGCCCAGACUCCUACGGUAGGCAGCAGUGGGGAAUUUUGGGCAAUGGGGGAAACCCUGAUCCAGCCAUCCCGCGUGUGCGAUGAAGGCCUUCGGGUUGUAAAGCACUUUUGGCAGGAAAUCGGUACCUGCAGAAUAAGCACCGGCUAACUACGUGCCAGCAGCCGCGGUAAUUC
rnacentral:rRNA from 1 species